GCGAUAGCCAAACACAUUAAAACAUAUUUUUCUAGAAUUGUUGGAUACAGAUAAAACCACAACUAAAAUUCAAUUUAUUGUCAGUGAGAGAUCACUGAUCAAUGCCACAGACAAACUUCAUUCAAAAGGAAAUCCUACUUUUAAUACAGUACUGACUUACAUCAUAAUCACAUGUCUAAUUAUAUCAUGGUCUCACAAAUGAACUUGUAUUUUUAAAUUGUGUGAUAUUAAAAUAUAUUUAGUGAUUAUGGCAGGAAUGUGACAAAAAUCCCUCAUGUCAGCAUAACUGGGGUUAGGUGUUCUCUAACAGUAGCUACACUGCAUACAAAUAUAAAAGCCAAAGAACAAAAUGUGUUUUUGGACAGAUCUUUAUCAGACGCCUGCAGGUCCAGCAGGUGGAACGUUAAACUGAAGGAGACCUGGCUGGAUUAAACCAACAGCAGCACUGAGCUCGCUCUGCUUCUUCCAUCAAAUCAAAGAGAUAUUUGUGGAGAAACAAUGCCCCACGGACAUGGUUUCAGAACUUUUUCUGCUUUGGCUGCAAUCCAGAUAUUUCUGAUUUACAAGGAUUCAUCUGAAAUAAAUGAAUUUUUGACAAACGGUGUCUCUGCGGGGCAGAGAAUAAAUAGAAGUUGAGAGGAAGAUAAGGGGGAGGGAGAAGGCAUCAGGAGAAAUGGCACAUUCUGUGUCAGUUCAUCCAUUCUGAAGACUGAGAACGCAGUGACUUUGCCACACAUCUUUGUGAGUUUUAAACUCACACCUGCUCUGACUGCCCACUCAGACUCUAAACCACAGGACCAGUUGUCACAUCAAGUUUUCUGUUCCUGUUUAUCCCCACAUUGCUGGAGGGAUUUGUGAGAGAGCAUGAUAGAGUAAUCCUUCCUGAGCUUCUCUUGUUGUAUACCCCAGUGAAUCACAAGAAUUUGGCUUUAUCACAACAGAUUGCAUUUUCAACCCAAAAUGCCAAACAGUGACAAUGAAGCAGUAAGAAAGGUCUGGGUUUGAUCCUGCAAAGAAGUAUGGAAUAUGUGAGCUGCUAUGUAUAAUGGGCAGCACUUUACAAAAGCUAAGUGAGUUUUUAUCCCUCUCAUCUGGGAUUGGCUCAUGGAGGCAGGGGUAACCGGAGAGAUGUUAAUUGGCCAAAGCGUUGGCUUGUGGACGGUAAUAGAGGUAUGAUCAAGUACUAUCUGAUAUCUACAUAUGAAGCUCAUGUUACACAGCACUUUAAGAGUGCUGCGUGUCAUCUGUCUGAGCCGAGUCUGAAGCCUGGUUCAUUAUUCUCCAGCACUGCUGCCAGACGGCUUUGCCUUGGCAUGGAGACUCGUCUCAUUUCAUACAGAGAAUAGAAAAUGACAAGAUGGAGAGCAAAGAGGCGGAACGACGCACUUGACAACUGCGGGCCGAGAUUGUAACAGGAGAAAUAUGAAUGUAAGUAUUUCCACGUUCACUAAGGCCUCCUGGGAGAAAGGCUCCAUCUGAGGUAUUUUCCACAUGUAGCCUAUGGAACGAAGCUAGAAACUGAAAGGAGGUGGUAAAGAGUCCAACUUCAUGCUGCAUACAUCAAUUCAUAAUACUGUUGGUAAAAUAGUAAAAAUAGUUUAAAAUAAGCACGGCUUAUAAUUUCCUAUUAGCAUCACAUCAGUUGGUUAUAAAAGAAAGCAAAAACUAAUAGAAAUGGCUCAUUUUGUGUCUCUUAGUAUGAAUCUAAUGAUGUAUAUCAUGUUUGUCCCACAAAAAAGCAUCCAUUUUUCUCGCUGUGAAGCCCAUGUCUGUUUUCCUGGAGAGUCUGUCCGUCCACACAUCACUGAAGCAAACAAGGUGACUUCAGUUAUAAGUUACCUGAAAAUACUCACAGCAGACACUUCAUCAGGAUCAGACUUUUCACUCAGUUACCCAGCUCGCUUUUCUCUUAAAACUCCACCAGCCAGCUGAGGAUGUUCUAAGGAGACCUGGAUACUGGACUUAAAGAUGGUGGACAGCUCGGUGUAGAAUGGUCUGACUGCACCUCACUGUUAUUCUCACAUGGGGAAAUAAAUAAAACAGUCUGCAGUGUGUUUGUAGCUCUUUAAACCAGUCACAGUCAUCAUCUCAGGUGGAGCUAAAAACAGAAUGCAGCAGCAGUGUUCAAACCAAAAUGACAGGAAAGUGUUGUAGUGGAACAUUUGCUCACAGGAAGGAGAACACUACUAGUAAAGGAUAGAAUUUACUUUCAAGUUCAUGUCUCUUGUCAUUGAAAACCUGUUAAAGUGGUCUGCAAAUUUAUUCUAGGCCUUUUUUUUUUACAAUAAAAAGGGAAAUAAAAUUACUCUAAUGCAACAAGUAAUACAAUAACAAGACACAAAAAUUUGGAGUGUAAAAACAAAGAUUUUCUGGUAAAACUUAAUGCACACCCUCUUUGCUAACACUAAAGGAAAUAGGUAAAUAAUGAAAGUUUUCAGAAAUAAAUUUUGUGCUAUUCUGAACAUUUCACUAAACACUGAUCAGGAAGAACAUUACGACCACCUGUCCAUUAUUGUGUUGGUCUCCUUCAUGCUUCUAAAUCUCCUCUGAGGUUCAUGGACUCAGGACUUCUGGAGAUGUUCUGUCGCAUCAGGAUGGUUCUGGUGGAUUCUGUGGGUCCUGUGGGUUGCAGGAUGGGACCUACCUAGAUCAGGCUGAUCCUGGACCAUCCUACAAACGCUCAACAAGAUCUGGAUCUGAGGAGUGUGGAACCUGGGAGAACCUUAGUUCUGUCGUCUUCUUAGGACCAUUCCUGAGCAGUUUUUGUGGUGUGUUGGGGUGCAUUGUCCUGCUGAGGGUGGAAACUGGCAUCAAGGACAGCUGCUGUCAUGGCGCUGGAUGGUUGCUUGACCUGCAGUGUUCAGGUAGUGGAACAUGACAGACAUCCACAUGAAUGUCAGGACUCAUUGCACUAGAACAAGAUGAUCGAUCUGAUUCACUUCACCUAUGUUGUGGCUGAUCCAUGAAUGUUUUAAUGUCUUAUUUCACAUUAGAUCAAUUACACAAAGAAGAAGUAGUUUAAUGUUAAACCAGCUUCUGCAGCUGGCACAGACUACUCUCAGAAAGGUCUACAUGGAACCAUUUUAUGAGCUUCAUUUCAAAGAACCUUUGGGAUGUUUUGUUGCUGAAGAAGUUGGUGCUUUGCAGAACAUCUUGAGUGUGCUGAAGACAUACUAAAUUAUAGAAUCCUUAAAACUGCUUAUUCUUUUGUGUAAAAUAAUCUGUGUUAACAUACACUACCGGUCAAAAGUUUUAGAACAGCCCAAUUUUUUUCCAGUUUUUGUUUUGGAAAUUCUGCAUGUUAAUGUUUCAUUGUCCUCUGAAAUGGAAGUAUAGAAUAAAUAAACAAAUUAAGUUAAAAAAAAAGCAAUUUAGAAACCAAAAUGUGCUCUGAACUUUUAUAACUGUCUUUUCCUCAUCAUUUUAUAACUACCCACUACUUUCUGCAGUACUUCCUGUUCUGAUAAUGUUCUGGAGGGUUCCAUGGUGGGUUCCAGCAUGACUUUCUGCAGACAGAGGGGGCUGGAAGGGAUCUAGAAAAGUUGGGACUCCUGUAGGAUUUGGCAGCUCCAGCUUUCAAGGCUUCAUCAACCUCCAUUAUCGCACAACAGCUUUAAGUUGUGAACCCCUUUCUGUUCCCUGAAAAACACCUUUUUUUGUAUAAUUUUGAAAUAUACAUUAUUUUUCAGUUUUGGGUAACCUUACCUUUUUAACCUCUGGAAGUUCACCACUUACCUUUGUUUCAUUUCAAGAUAUUCAUUGGACUUGAACUGCUUGACUUUCAAUAUUAAAGGCAUUAGAGGAGAUUUAAUUUCCUACGACUAUGAACUUAGCAUGCGCACAUACAACCUCUCCCUCACCCCCCUCUAACCUCCCCCCUCUUAACAUUUACGAAGAAACGCCCCCCUCCAGAAACUUGCGUAGGAUUCGUGAAGUUGCCUACAGCCGCAGUAUAAUACAAUAAUACAUUUUACCUGUCCAGAAGGAAUUUAGCAACCAAGGCAUCUGUCUUUAGGUCCAUUUGUUGCUUGAGCUGACGCCAUCGCCCAAAUGACUCGCCAAUAAUCCCUUUUGUUUUUGGAUUCUCACGAUCCAGUUGUCUUUUAUUUUCUCUGACCUUAAAAAAAGCCUUUCUUUUACGGCUGGGUCCCCCUGGAUCUUUAUCUGCCAUUAUGUAAAAAAAGAUGAGCAAAACAAGUCGCCAGCUAACUACGAAGCUAUAGACCUUUUCGCAGUGACGUCAGAGUCGGGGACACGUGACCAUACCUUCCUUAGCAACGCACGCCGCCAUUUUAAGAGGGGGCAACAAAGUCAUUAGCAACCAUGAUUUGACCGCCGAAACCACGCGGUUUUGACCCGGAGAAAAACGUCUGGUGAUUAUUUCGGAAAUCUUGAGCCAAAAGCCAAGCUACGGUAUAAAGAAAAAUUAGAACUGGUUGGUUUGCAGUCAUGUCCGUACCAAAUUCCUCUGGUUUCAUGGGAAAACGACCCUACUACGUGUCCAGAUCUUCAUUGGCACUCCAUUUACGAGUACCUUAUCAACAGCCCAGGCAUCCACACAAUGGAGAAGAUGAAGACUUAUAAAAGCCUGGACUCAUACGUUUUCUUUGAGGUAUGCUUAUAUUUAUACGUUUUUGUGCAUACAGGUCAAUGUCAGAAUGAUAAAUGCCUUGUAAGAUACGGCUACACCAGCUCCGCUAUGCUAAGCUAAUGUUAAGCUAACGGGGUGAGCCAUUACACCUUUUAAUUUCAAGUGGAAGUAGUGUAUGUAUAUUCGUUAGAUGUGCAUUAUCAAAACUAAGAGUCAGAUACCUGUAAAUGAGCUCUACCCACCCUAGGCCCAAGGGUAUGAGGUGCUAACAAUAAUGAGGACAAUGCUGCUGAUUACAGCAUAGUAGUUAGCAGAACGAAAGGGAGGAGAGAAGGUUUAAAAAUAGCAGUGUGAGUAGAAAGACCCCUGACUUUUUGUGGGAAGCACAGCUAGCACUAGCCUAAGCUAAGUAGCUAGCCCUCAACAUUUCAGAUAAUUAUAGACAUCAUAAGCUGCAGUCAAUUCCAGCCACUUUCAGUACAAAAAAAUCGGUAAUAUUCUAUUUGUAAAUAAAAAUAUGACGAGAAAUACAGGGAAUAUUGGACGUGCAUCGCGAGGUGCAUUUCCUUGAAAACGACCUAUUCGUGGAUUAUAUACCGACUUCAAGACAUGUUUUGGACAAAAUAUGUUACUGGCUUGUUUCGUCUGGAUGUCCAAGGUUGGAUUAUGGCCGUUUUUUGUGGAAUCUUUUUUUCUGUGUGUAAUAAUGAACCCGGAAAUGUGAGUCGCGCUGUGUAUGUUGAAGCCGUGUACAGAGAAAGGAUGGAUGGAUAUUCGUUUUUGUCGGACAAAUGUGUUUAUAUUACCCGCUGUGGUAAUCACAUCUGAAAGUGGUUUAUAUCAGCGGAUUCAUGAGAAUCUAAGCUUUCCAUUGGCGUAUAGUGUUUGUAUAAUCGUGUUUGCAGUUUCAGACAUUUAGCAAAUUGCUUAUGCAGAUUUCAAAGUGUACCGCGGGUGGGACACUGAAGCGCAACGGGUUAUUAAUUAAUAAUUUCAGAAAAUCAGUUAAGGGUUAAUAAUUGCAUGAAACACAACAUACCAUUGACGAAAUGCUGACUGCAAACAUAGGACCAUUUUGACUGUGGGCUCCAUGUGGUUCCAUUAUUGUUAAUCCGCCUCAAUGCUUUGAGCCAUAAACUCCUUUUCUGGCCCUUUUCAGUCGGAAUCCUGUAAAAGGAAAUGUUCUUGUUGCUCCAUGACUGAGAACUACAGCCAAAAACAGCGCAGGUUUUGGGCAUAUCUGCUUUUGGUCGUUCAAAUCGGGAGGGAAACGUGGGAAAGUAAUGGUCGUCAAGGCAAAGCAUACCCCUCUUAAAAUGGCGGAAUCGCGUUGCUAGGGCCGGUGACCGGCGGUGACGUUCGAUGAUGACGUUUCGGAAAAAGGUCUGUACCAAAGCAACACAUACAGAAAACACGUAAGUCCAAGGCGUACGUAAUCUACGUAACUAGGCCUGAGCCGGAAGAUUUUUGAUUGACAGGAAAGGGAGCAAACCAAACGCCUCGGUCCGAGCGCGUUGAUUGGCUGAUGUUUUUCAGGUCCUGCCAUGUCCACAGCUAUUUUUUUUUUUAUUCUUUUAGAAACCAUACAUACAAGUCCACUAAAGGUCAGUAUAUUCAUUUUAUGUGAAUCAGACAAAUUAAACAACAAAAACAUCCUCCAUAAUGCCUUUAAACUGGUAAAAUUGUGGCGGUCUAAGACUUUUGACCGGUAGAGUAGCUAUUUUUGUUCGUGUGUUAAUGUUAGCUUGGCAGUUAAAACACUAUAGCUAAAGUUCCAACAGUUUGUGAUACUGCAUCAGAGCACAGUAUCACCUAUACGUUUGAGGGCCCGGAAUAACUUUGGGCUGUUUCAGCUGUACCCUCCUGAAUCGUUCUGUCUGAUGGAAUAAUCCCACAUAAAUAUAAUGUAAGUUGAGCUUUAACACAGACAUGCAAAGAGGAAGAAGAACAUUUAUUUGUAACCUCAGUGUACAGAGUGCAGGUUAUCCAGGCUGGCUGCCUCGUGUAAAGAACCAUGAAGAAUCAGAUCAUUUUCAGCAGCAACAACUUUUCUGUGUGAGAGCUGAAGGAACGUCCACUUUAACACCUCUUGUACCAACAGAUUAAUGGCAGGAACACAGCUUCCAUAUUCUGUGUGGACCUUGUUAUGCUGUUUCUUCAAGGCCUGCUGAGCUUUCCAAUUUGGAGGGGAAAAAAUGACAUGUUUUUAAAUGGGGGUUUUGCACCAUAUGACCUUGUAGCAGCAUUGCAGGGCAGCGUGAUGGAGCUCCUCCCGGCCGUCUCUGCUCCCGCUGGCUUGCUGCUGUGUUGCUGAGGUCAUUACUCACUGUGACACCCUCCGCUGAUCUACAUCAUAUUACCAAGCGUUUAAUAUUGUUCCCCGCUGACCAUGUGGCCUCACAAAACAACCACCGAGAGGAGGCGGCACUAAAUACAUCAUCACAAUUGUUUAAGUGCUUCCCGCUGCAAACCCCUCUCGCUGCUGUGCUUCAUCUGCAGAACUUCUUUACAUUUUUGCUUUAAAACUUUGGAUGACAUUCUGGUUGAUUAGAUAUUGAUCAUCUCCUCUGAAACACUUCUGGAAAAUGCACAGUCUAUGCAAGCAAAAUCUUUUUAUAUUUUCCCUCCUGUGGUGUGAAAUGGUCAAAGCUCAGCGUGAUAAUGCUGGGCUACAGUACAUCAUACGCUGUUUUUCCUCUUCUAUUGUCAUCAGUUUUCCUCAACACCUCACAUGGAGAAAUUGGAAAGAAAGCGCACACACAGAUACUGAAUGCUGAUUUUCCAUCCAGACCUGAAGCUGCUGUGUUCCUCUGCUCAUCCCAAAGGUGAUUCAUUCCUCUCUUGGAGGUGCUACAUGCCUCAGAUUAUAUAAGAACCACUUCUGCUUUACCCAAACUGUGUCACUAAGCUAUCACGCUUUAUUUGGACAUGACGGUAAAAAAUGAGCACUUGGGAGUGGCGCUGUGUUAAAUGCAGAGAUGAAGCACACAGACAGCAUUUAUUGGCUGCAUAUUUGCCACUUUUGAAACAUCACUGUAUUCCUUUUUAAUUGAUUUUUUUCCGUUUUUUGCUACUUUUAUUUUGAAUGCUGUUGUGAUGCUUUUCUUGGCCGAUGUAAAGCAUUCUUUGGAUCGUGUCCGUUCAGAAAUUUAACAUGUGCCUGUUGCUGAGGAUGGCUGGAAAAUCUGCAGUUUGUUCCUUUGAGUCGCCCUUAAAGUCCAACUACAAUAACCUCUAAUGUUUAAUGUUUUCUUCACACUCUUUAACUUGUACAAAAACUAAAAUAUAAAAAUGAUAACGUGGUUUUUCAGGUUUUUGGUUGGGUUCAGUCACUUCCUUUAAUCUUGCUGAACUAAUUCAGAUCAUAUCAAAUCACAGUAGAGUCAAAGAAAACAAUCUCACCACACGAUCUAUUUAGUGGAUACUUUAGAGCCUUUCAUCAGAUCACAAGAACGUCUACAGCAUUAUAAUGAAACUGCAGACGUCCAUAUUUCCAUGUUUCCAAGUACUUUUCUGAAGACGGUGUACUUUCUGUGUUCACAAGUACGGAAAGGUCUGCAGGUGACAUCAAUGUUGUCGUCUCCUCGUGUCUAUAAGAACCUACGCUGCCUCUCUGCAGGUGUCCAUGUGUAGGCUGAUAUUUGCAUUACAAGGCCAGCAGUAGUGUGCAUAAGCAGAAUAUAAAGAUGCUGAUCUACUGCACAUGUAUGGAACAAAGACCUCCAAAGUGGACUACAAAGUGGUAUAAAGCCUUGAUUCUACUCCCAUGCUGACAGAGGCGUAGCUGCUUUCUGGUCUGCUGGGUGGUCACAGGAAGUCAGCAUCUACAGUAUGUAGAGCAGCCGCUUUGUGGACACAAACUUCAAAUGACUUGGAAACAUCCAUAGAAGGCUCCUUGUGGACUCUCUCAGCCUUGAGAAGAUGAAUUUCCGUUGUCCAGAUACUGUUGGACCCUCAUGUUCUGACAGAUAGGGAAUGAAUAACAUUGACCUUACAUGUACUCCCUCACAUGGAUGGCUGUAGAAACCAUUAAUCUGUUGCCAUUACUUUUUCUGUUCUGCUUGGAGGACAUAUACACACACAGAUGAUCAGAUCUAGAGAAGAUAAGACUUCUAAGUCUAUUUUGUGACAUGAUCACGUCACACUAUACUGACCCUGUUGAGAAACUACUUUCCAGCUGCUCUUUCUAACAUCAAGAAUUACCAUUGAACCUUGGCUUUUUGGCCUCAGAUGAAGUCUUUGAAGUGGUCAGAAAAAGAAGUGAACUUUCAGUGACUGCUGGGAAACUGUCUACUCAUGACGGUUAUGUGAUAUGACUGAAAACUCCAGAUGACUUUCUAAAGUGGGUUUGGUGGUGAGACAUGGAGCCUUGGAGUCGAAGGAUGACUAAAAUGGACCAAAACUCACUUAGAAUGUGAAUGAAAAGUUUAAAAAAAUGCUUCAAAAACUAAAUAAUCCAACACCAAACCACGCAACUCAGAUUAGUUUAAUCUUUACACUAGUGCACACCAUUAUUUUCACUUCAUUCAAAGUCAAGUCAAAGUCAAAGUCAGCUUUACUGUCAAUUCUUCAGUAUGUACAUGACAUACCAGGAAUCAAAAUUACGUUACUCUCUCUUUGUGCAACAGUAGACAUUAAAUAAACACUUAGAAGGUUCUGAGAUAAAAGAAAUAGUAUAAAUUUAGAAAUCUAACGUGCAAAAUAAGAUAUAAAAGGCAAAAACUACGUAAAUUAAGAACUCGAGAGCAAAAAACAGGUAAACUAAGAACAAGGAAGCAGAACUAGAACCAAGCAGCAACUAAGAACUAAGAACUGCAGAACUGAGUGAAAUGUAAACACGACCAUGAGAUAAAGUGGAGGAUUUAGUGCAGAAUAUUCAGAACAGUGUAAAUGAGUAACAGGAGUCCAAGAAGUGCAAAUAUGCUGGUUAUUGACCACAGAUUGUGUAUGUGGGGGAAGGGGGUGGUAGAGAGGGCAGAGAGGGGAGAGAGUUCAGUUUUCUGACAGCCUGGUGGAUGAAGCUGUUGUUCAGUCGGCUGGUCCUCAGACUCUUCAGUCUCCUCCCUGAUGGCAGCAGGCUGAAGAGGUUGUGGGACGGCUGUGUGGGGUCACCAGUGCUGAGUGCUUUGUGAGUGAGGCGGGUGCUGUAGAUGUCCUGGAGGGAGGGGAGAGAGACACCGACGAUCCUUUCUGCUGCUUUCAUGAUGCGCUGGAGGGUCCUGCAGCAGGAGGAGGUGCAGGAGGUGUACCACGCUGUGAUGCUGCUGGACGGGAUGCUCUCCAUGGUGUCUCUAUAGAAGGUGGACAUGAUGGAGGCCGGGGCACUGGCUCUUCUCAGCUUACGCAGGAAGUAGAGACGUUGUUGGUCCUUCCUGACCAGUGAUGUUGUGAUUCUGGUCCCGUAGAGAUUUUCUGAGACGUACACACCCAGGAACUUGGUGCUGCUCACCCUCUCCACAGCCGCACCGUUGAUGUUGAGAGGAGCAUGCUGGGUGUGUCCUCACCUGAAGUCAACAACAAUCUCCUUUGUCUUCUUCACGUUCAGAGAGGUUGUUGGUGCUGCACCACCUGGCCAGGUUGCUCACCUCACGCCUGUACUGUCUCAUCCCUGUUGCUGAUGAGACCCACCACAGACGUUAUGAAAAGAUUGGAGCUGUGUGUCGGUGUGCAGUCAUGGGUCAGCAGAGUGAAAAGCAGAGGGCUCAGCACACAUCCUUGGGGGACCCCGUGUUCAGGAUGAUGGUGCUCAAUGUCUUACUGCCGACCUGUACUGCCUGUGGUCUCCCUGUCAGGAACUCCAGCAGCCAGUUGCACAGUGAAAGAAAUUCAAACACCUGCCAGUGGAUAUAGUAGGGCAACUCAAAGCUGUUUGGAUCUGAUAAAGAACCAGUAUAAACACAUCGAUGGUGUAACUGGGCUGUAGAGCAACAUGUUACCAGGAGACCAGGGCUUAAAGACGGGGUCCUGAUCAGGUUUCCAGACUAUCAAACCCAAACAGAUGGUCAAUUAAAGAUAGUUUCCUCUCGUUUUCUACCUCAUUGAUGUCAGUGUUCUCUGCAAACGCAGCGUUAAUUCAUCCAAGUGAUAGUUUGACCAUUAAUACCCCUCUUUAUGUAGGUAUGUAUAGAACCAGGUUCCAACCAGACAAAAAUGUAAUAACUAGGAUCCCACAUUAUACACUACCCGUACAAAAAAAAUAGUUGUACACUAAUAUUUUGUUGGACCUCCUUUAGCUUUGAGUACAACACUCAUUCACUGUGGCAUCGUUUCAAUAAGCUUCUGCAAUGUCACAGCAUUUAUUUCUGUUCGGAGUUGCAUUCAUUUUCUACCAAGAUCUUCUAUCGAUGAUGGGAGAGUUGGACCGCUGCACAAAUCUUCUCCAGAACAUCCCAAAGGUUCUCAGUGGGGCUGAGGUCUGGACUCUGUGGAGGACAAUCCAUGUGAUGCUCCCUGAUCCACUCAUUCUCAGUGUGACUCCAUGAAUCCUGACAUCGUCAUCUUGGAACAUGAAGAAAACCUCCACUGAUGGAAAGACCUGCUCAUUCAGUAUCUUCAGGUAUCAGCUGCCCUCAUUCUUUGGGAACAUAACGUUGGUGAACCUGACCAACCUCAGAUCAUAGCCCUAACCUCCACAGGCUGGCAGAAACCAGCCAUGAUGAGGGCAUCACUUCACCUGCCUCUCUUCUUACCCUGAUGCCAGGGUAAAUCUGGCCUCAUCAGACCACAUUUGUUCCUGAAGAUAAUGGUUCUCCACUAUCCUUCAGGUUCUAACGAUGUGUUGGACGGUUCUUAACCUGAUUUUAGUAGUUUCAUCUCCUUAGUUGUUUUCUUUGCUUGAUGCAGGCCAAUAAUUUGACUCUUCAGAGACAGAUUACCAUCCUUUCCAUGACCACAGGAUAUGUCUUCCACCAUGGUUGUUUAUGGUAAAUGGUUGUAUUUAUAUAGCGCUUUUAUCCAAAGCGCUUUACAUGAUAUGUCACAUUUACCCAUUCACACACACAUUCACACACUGAUGGCGGGAGCUGCCAUGCAAGGUGCUAACCACAACCCAUCAGGAGCAAUUAGGGGUUAGGUGUCUUGCUCAGGGACACCUUAACAUGGGCACGACGGGCCGAGGAUCGAACCGGCAACCUUCCAGUUACAAGACGGCCACUCUACCCACUCAGCCAUGCCGCCCCAUGUUUAAGAAAUGAGAAGCUCCUCACUGCAGAAGCUAGGGUUGAAGAAGUUGUGUCAUCACUGCAGUAAUUAUGUUUGCUUAGUUAAAUCAGUUGGUGACUUUUUUUUUUGGACAGGCAGUGUAUGUUGUCAGCACCCCUACCAGGAUAUCAACUAAUUUAGAAACACAAUUUACAGUAAAGACAAUUCAACACCUGUUGAAGAGCAAAACAGCGCUUGAUGGUUGAGUCCUGCACUAGAAAUACAUUCAUACUCAAUGAAUCAGUCUCAGUAGUUUAGGAGAUAACAAAAAGACUUCCCCUCUGGUACAGAUGUUACAAGAAGCAGGUCUGGUUUCAAGUUUGACUUCACAGGGAACAUAUGGAAGGAAAAAACCAAACUCCUUUUGAGACUGCCCAUUGAUCAGCGACGCUAUCGAACGCAGAAACGUUGACUCAACAUUUUAUCAACCUUGCGCUUUCUGUAUAAUUUCGACGUUAGGUCUCAACAUAGAUUCAACAUUGAUUCACCCAUAGUUUGCUAUCUGGGUCACUUCUUUUUGUUCUCAGUUUUCCCUUGGACUAAACACCAGAUUUAAUUACUCAGCUGCUCGACUGCAGUAAAUUCUCAGAGACACUACUGGAUGCUGAUCUUCAGCUUAAAGCAUGCAGCAGAGCUUCUGAUCAACCAGGACACAGGAACAUUUAAAUACUCACAGAACGCUGAUUAUCAAGAACUUUAUGCUUUCUUGGAUAGAGAAAUCUUGAAAAAUGCAGAUUUUGUGAUGUUAAAAAAAAGGAAUGAAAUGACAUAUUUUUGAGAUUAUUAAAUCUGUUCUCAGAAGUCUUCCAAGAGUAAAAGGUCACACAGGAAAGGUCAGUAUAUUAUUAACAUUUUACCUCCUCAACUAUCACGCAGUUACUCAACAUUCUGUAAAAUCAAACCUCACAUGACUCUCAGUGCUGGCAAAUCUGCAGAUAAAGGUCACUCUCUGUAUGUAUUUUGACAUUUUACAUGCAUCAUGUGAAGUUUUUCUCUUUUUUGUGGCUGUUUUAGCAGCAUUUGCCUCCUUAUCUCCACCAUCUCUGCAUUCCAACUGCUUCUGUCCCUCAAGCACAUGUGGCAGAUGCUGCGUGGCCGAACUCGCUGGAGAGGCCGCGGCGCUGUCAGCUCAGAUCCGUCUUCGUUUAGGAGGUCGCUUGUUCAUUAAGCCCGGCGUGGCUCAACAGGAGGCCGGCUUCAACAACAUGCCAAUGUACGGCAUCAUAAAUCCACAUUAGAGAAGAACGAGGCAUCUCAUGGCAGGCUGCGGCUUGAUGACAAACAGUCCAGGCCGUCGACGCUCAACACACACAUAAAGACCUGACAUAAGCGUUAUCUUACAGCCUUCAGGAGCAAUGGUGGUGAUAAGAAUUAAGAAUUUCUGUUGUUAAAAAUCUUUAUCUUCAAAGCGUGCUCCACAUUUCUGCCAUUUACAUACUGUGGUUUUUUUUCAGAGGGAAAGGUCAGUGGCUGGGGCGACUUGCCAGGUGUUUGUGGAACAGCAGACCAGUGUGGUUCGCUGAAUGUAAUUACGGCACUCUGGCAAUCCGAUAACCUGCCAGUCUGUCUCUCAACACGAGGAAAGUGCACCGGCAUAUUAAAUGUGGCUCAACAAACAUGGUUGUGAGCAGGGAACAGGGUCUAGAGCAGUGAUCAUCAACUGGCGGCCCGCGGGCCGAAUCCGGCCCGCCGAACCGUCCAAUCCGGCCCGCGACUGGAUUCCAAAAUUGUGAGGAUCAAAGAGAAAAUAUCAUGUGGUCCACACUAUUAAAGCAGUCAGUCCAGUCAUUAUUAAAGGAUCUGUUUUCCACAUCAACUUUUCGUUUCGUGGCCUUAGAGAGUGCCAUUUUACCCGUGUUAAGAGGCCUUUUCCUGUCACUUCUGCGGUGCUUCUUUUUCAAGUGCUCUGUGAAUAAAGUUGACUUGAGAUGAGGCCAAAUAUCUCUAUCACUCCUAGUGGUUGACUGUGGUACAGGUGAUAGGAGCACUGACUCAUAAAGGCUAAAAAUGCCUUCAGUUUUGUAAUGAAAUGGAAAAAAUAUAAAAAAUAAACAUCAAAUAAUAAUGUUAUGCCAAAAUUCGAUUUUUAUUUAAUUUUUGUUUGAGGGUCCGGCCCCCAAAGUGACUGUCCGGUAAAAUUCUGGCCCUCUGGCAAAUAUAGUUGGUGACCCCUGGUCUAGAGAUUGUGGUCUUCAGUCGUCCAGACUCUGGAUGGAUAUAAUCAACCCAACUUAAAAAAUCUGGGUGGGAUUUUUGACAGUGCUUUUAAAUUUGAAAAACAGAUCAGUUCUGUUGCUGGAACUGGCUUCUUCAUUUGAGACUGUUGGCCAAAGUGAAGCCCUAUCUGUCCCACAAUGACUUUAACACAUCUAGGAUAGACUAAUGUGACUCUCUCCAUGUCAGUCUUGAUCAGAUGUCUCUUCAUCAGCUCCAGUUGGUACAAAAUGCUGCUGCUUCUAACAGACAAAGAAACAGGAGACCAUCGCUCCACUUUUAGCCUUCCUCCACUGACUUCCUGUCUGCUGCAGGAUUGUUUUUAAGGUUUUAUAGCUUGUUUUUAAGGUGUGAAAUGGGUUGGCAACUUCAUAUUUAUUCAAGUUUUUACAUGUCUAUGUUCCAGUUUUAUCUCUGAGGUCGACCAAGCAGAUGGUCCAUAAGCCUUAGAUGCUCCAGUGAUUGGAUCUCCACUCUUCCAUAAAUUUCGAACACUGUGAUAAUGGAAAAAGAAGAACAUUACAAAGAACAGCAGCAGAAGAAUGUCAGCAUCCCAUUUAGGAGACAUUUUUCCACUCUUUUCCUCCAGCUGUUGCUGCUCUCCAUCCCUCCAAGUUUGUGCAUCAUUUCUUGUAUGAUAUUAUCAGUGAUAAAGAGCUUGGGGUAGUAAUGCAAAUGUUAGAAUUCCAUAAAAAGUAUAAAAGGUAACUUAAAAUUGAAAUGGAAUGGUAUCAAAAGCAGGAAAGCCGCAGGUCCUGGUGGAAUCGGCUCCAGACUUCUCAGAGACUGUGCAGACCAGCUCUGUCAGGUGCUGCUCUGCAUCUUCAACCUGAGAAACCUCCAGAAAUUCUCUGAUGAUGCAGCCAUUGUUGGGUGUGUGUCUGAUGGGGACGAGCUGGAGUACAGGACAGUCAUCUCUGACUUUGUCGACUGGUGUGAGUGAAACCAUCUGCAGCUCAACACCAGUAAGACGAAGGAGAUGACCAUCGACUUCUGCAGGAGGAGGACACCUCAGCCUGCACCGGUGAACAUCCAGGGUUUGGACACUGAGAUAGUGGACUCAUACAAAUACCUGGGUGUUCACCUCAACAACAAACUGGACUGGUAACACAACACAGAGGUCCUGUACAAGAAGGACCAAAGUCGUCUCCACCUGCUGAGGAGACUGAGGUCCUUUGGAGUGUGCAGGACUCUGCUCCGGACAUUCUAUGACUCUGUGGUAGCAUCUGCUGUUUUCUAUGCAGUGGUCUGCUGGGGAGCAGGGAGCUCUGAAAGGGACAGAAAGAGACUGAACAGACUGGUGAGGAGGACCGGUUCUGUGCUGGACUGUUCCCUGGACUCCAUAGAGGAGGUGGGUGAGAGGAGGAUGUUGGCAAAGCUCACAUCCAUCAUGGACAACCCCUCUCACCCACUGCAUGACACUGUGGAGUCUUUAAGUAGCUUUUUCAGCAGCAGACUGGGACAUCCAAUCUGUAAGAAGGAGCGCUAUCACAGGUCAUUCAUUCCAUCUGCUAUAAGACUUUCUAACACCAGCAUCACUGGCUGAUGGUAACUUAAACUGGACUUUAUCACAUCAUCCUUUAUCAUAUAAUCUGCACAGUUCUUUGAAUUUUCUUUCACUCUACAUUAUUCCAUAAGCCACUUUUUCCAUCCUUCACUCUUGUGCAUAUUGUAAAUAUUAUUAUCAUUAUAACUAUAUUGUUGUUUAUUGUUGCUCUUACUGUAUGCUGUAACAUGGGAAAUUUACCCUGACAUGGGGAGUAAUAAAGGAUUAUCUUAUCUUA